rnacentral:rRNA from 1 species
AUGGCUAGCCCUUCUAUCAUUGUUAGUACUCCCGAUCAUGAAGUACUUAAUUUUAAACAAAGGGAUGGAGAAAACUUAAAAGAUGCUUGGUAUGGAAUUUGCAAUGCUCAGAAUAGAUCCACUAGGAAGCAAUCCACUUCCGUUCUUCUUCGCAAUUUUUAUGUUGGCAUCACUCCUUGGAACAUAUAUAUUCUUGAUAACAUUACCGGAGGGAAUUUCUCGGGUAGUCAUACUUUUGAUUCUUACAAUGCCAUGUUAGAUUUGUUUGGCUCACCCCCUCUUUUGGUUAACGGAACUACUUUAACUUUGGAACAUGUGAUGCAAAGGCUCGAAAUUAAUGAAAAUAAAGUUGCCACUAUAGAGUCAAUUGAGAAUUUGGAUAAAAAGAUCCACAACCACAUUACUCAAUAUGGAUCUAAGGUAGGAAUAACUCUGAAUUUUUUUAAAGAAAAGGAACCCUUAGUUAACGAAAAACUAAAUCAAGAUUCCACAAGAAUUGAUAAACUUGAGGAUAUUAUUACCAACUUAGGGUCUGCCUUUUCUACCGUAAGAAAUACUCCAAAUGCCAAAGUUGCCAAAUUAAUGUAUGUUCCUAAAAAUAAGGGGGGAUCUUCUAGUAAGGAAAAUGCGGAUCUCAAAUCUAUAAGUAUUCACCCCAACUUUUUCACUAUCAUUAAGGAACCUUUUGCUACGAAUGAAGUCCUUGAUUUUUUUCCUAGGAGUUUGAGGGAAAGUCCUAAGGGUUAUAAACGUUCUAUUGAAGAAUUGCAUGCCAAAGAUGAUAAUACUUAG